ensembl:lncRNA
AGAAUUGUUAACUAGGUAUAACAAUAUAAAGAAGAGGAUUAAGGCAAGAAGAGAAUACUAAGGUAUCAAGGAGGUAGGAAUUACAAAAAAAGCCGCCCUCUCCGGGGCUGGGGGAACAAGUGAAGAGGUUGAAAUUAUUAAAAUUUAGAAGAAACUUAGAGGAGGGAACUUACAGCAUUGAAACUCAGACCCCUGAGGAGCGGAAUUUUGUUCAGCUGGUGCUGUAAGCUUGGAGGAGCAUCCCCAUGUGGCUGGGACCAGACCUCCGAGGAGGGAGCACUGAUUGGUUAGUGGUGGUUCUCUGAAUGUGGAACACUCAGGCUGACUCUUUAAAUGUUGGAAAAACUGCACACUGGAUUUAGCUACUGCAAAGUUUAAGCAAGGAUGCUGUAGGUGUAAAAAGUUGUCAGGGGUAAUUUUGACCGGAAGGGGAGGCAGAGAGGGAGGAGCAAGUCCCUUUUUCCUCUUUCAGCCUUUCUCUCCCCUUCAAGUACCCCUUAUUGCCAGAGGCUAACCAGGUGCCAGAUGGUGAAUUGGAAAUACUGUGUGCAAUUUCAGCACCAGAAUCGCAGAGUUUACAAGGAUGGGAUUGGAGUGGAAAGACGACCCAAAGUGGCAGGGCAACUGUGAUGAAAUGCGAAGUCUGAACAUCUUUUCUAGCCAUCUUCCUAGUCUCCUCUUUUGGUGAAUUUCAUUCAGUGACUGGCCAGAAGGACCCAGACUAACACUUCCUGAGGACUUAUCCUGUGCCAGAACGUGUACUGAGUAGGUGCUUUGUAUUUGUCAUCACAUCUAAUCCUCACAAGAACCCCAUGAGGCUACAAUGAGGAGUUGCUCCAGCAGCUACAGCUGUAGGAAGAUUAGCCCUGAACUAACAUCUGCCACCAAUCCUCCUCUUCAUUGCCAAGGAAGACUGGCGCUAUCUUGACCGAACCCCAGGCUGCUGAAGUGGAAUAUGCUAACUGAACUGCUGUGCCACCGGGCCAGCCCCUUCCUUCUGUUUUUUGAAUGUUCUUGGACACCUAUUCUUUCUAAGCAAUAGAAAUUGCCAUGAAUACCUAAAAUCUCUCCACAUUGCUCUUCAAAUAUGACUACUCAUUGGUGCUCUCUAGAGAAGAUAAGAGAAACAUCUCUUUUUCAUCCUCAUCCCAACUCAAGUCUGAGCUAAGUCAUAUCCUGAACUCAAGGAGACCUCAUUGCUUUAACCUCAGGCCUCUCCACAGAGUUUCUCCUCUAAAACACAGAGAAAACUGCAAGCCCCUUCAUCAAGGAAAAGUCUUUUAUAGACUUCUCUGGUAAAGUCAGUCCUGGAGCCAUGUGACUAGAUGCUCUGACCUGUUUUUCUGCAACCACACAAACAACCACAUCCUAACUUGCAUGAGAUAGAGGCUCAAAAAUUGCUUUUCUUAUUAGAGAUGACUCCAGGUUUUAGCUACUCUUUGCACAUCUUGUGUACUACUUGUUCCCUAGGUUCCACUAGCCUUAGUGACGAGUGUGGGGAAAGUGGCAAUUAUCAAGUUUCUUGACACUGAAUCACCCUCCAAUCAUGUUCCUGGGUCAUUAUACCUUCCAGGUCCUUCUAUUUUCCUUAUGAAUUCUGAAUGACUCAAGUAGUUUCCUCUGUGACUUUUGCUGCCUUCUUUGUUGUGACAACCACUGUAUCUGAGAAAAAUGCUCAAAGCAAGUUGUCAGAAAUCCCAUCUCUAUUUUAAAUGAUGUUAAAAUGAAACUCUUCUUUCUUCCAUUUUGAAUGAGCCAUCAAUAUGAGAAAUAUUAGAUAAUAAAAAGGGCAUGACACAGAUCCUCUCAUAAGAAGAAUUUACAAAGGAAAUGGUUAAGAACCGUUUUUCCCAGCUCAAUGACUCUUGUGUCCCUUGGCCAGAACAAGGUGUGCAGAGUAGACAGAAUGUGGAAUAGGGAAGAACUUCUCCGAAGAAGAGCCGUGGCUUUGCUGUUGUUGCUUUGAGAGAGUAGUGGGUCAUGUUCCUGGUACCUUGAGAGGAUUGUUUUGGUCUUUCUGUUUCCUUUACCUCAAGCCUAGUGAGGGGGCUUCCAUGGAAUCGCUCAGAAAGCUUCAAAUAUGCUCCUUGCUAUUGGGAGACUUGAGAAAGACUGAUGUCACUGUAGAAACAGCAAAGUAUUGGUGCAUUAAGUUCAUCCUGGACUCCUAGAAUUUAUGGGGACAAGGGAUGCAUGAGUGUUUAUUUUGGAUGAGGUAUAGGCCGUGUAGAAGACAGAGCUGAUGUGGUCAUCUUGGGUUUUAUCCAAAAGAGCCAUCUCAGGGCGAAGAGGCUCCCUAAAGUAAGAAACUAGAAUGAAACACUAGACUUAGGAGCCAUGGAAGAAUUUGCAAAUGAUCACCAAAAAUAAAUGAUACCUCUAACUCAGUGAGAGUUGGAGGGGAAGUAGGAUAUCAACCUAAGAUAGAAGAAAGCUGAAGGAUGUGAGCUAUGGUUUACAACCCAGGCUGAUUAUUGUUAGAAAGAAUCUAUAAUAAGAUGAAACAGACCUAUUAGAAUAUCAACACCAAAAAAGCAAGCACCAUGACUGUUUCACUCAAUAUUGUAUUUUCAGCUUGCGUAGUGCCUAGCAUCGAG